CUGACUACCAGGGGGAAAGGAUAUUUUCUGAAGAUCCUUCCUCUAGAGUUUUGUAGCAAGCUGAGGAUUGAGCUGUCAGGCAGGAAACUAAUAGAAGAACAGGUGAACGUAUUCUUUUUUUCUUUUCUUAAAUUCUCUGCGCAUCCAUGUUUCUGUACAGGGCCUCUGGCAGAUUCCCUCUUGGUGGACAACGAAUAACCUCAGCUGUAGGCAUCUUGCUGGUGUCCUUCAAUGCAUAAAGAACUGCAGCAAUUGUGUGUUGGCGGGGGAAGAAACUUGAGGAGCUCCUGCAAGAAUUCCACCAUCAAAACAAGAAGAACCUUGGGUUGAUUUUUCAUUUUCUGAUGAUUUGUACAGAACGUGGAACCAUCUCUUCCAGAGAUUAUUUCUAGAGUUUUAAUAUGAUUACCCUUGAAGAGCAAACUUUGUGCCUGUUGGAUGGGGUCAAGCUGUAUCAAAGGACUGCUUAAUACACUAUCUCAAGAUAUAUAACCUUGACAUUGCUUCCAUUCUUGGGCUAUUGGCCACUACAUAAAUUUUUGUAUUAUCUGUGAUCUUGCUAAGGGUGUACUCUAUCCUGUCAUCUAGGUCAUUAAUAAAGAUGAUAAACAGCAUUUUAUCCAGUACUGACACAUAGGGUGUAUCACCAGUGACUAGUGUCCAAGUGGAGUUCAACCUGCUGAUCAUAAUCCUCUGAGCCUAGCAGUUUAGACAGUGUUCAGUCUGUCUCAGUGCCCAUUCAUGUAAUGCACAUUUUCCAAUUUGUCUGUGAGGAUUUUUUGGGGGCAAAUAUCAAAAGCCUUGUUCAAGCUGAGAAUAACAUCCACUGUAGUGUAGCAAUUCUAGCUGAGAUGAAGCUAAUUUUCUUUGGAGGAGCACACAGGGUACUACAGUGAAUGACAGUGUUGAUGACGCACCAGUGCUUGAGGUAUUGUUGAGCAGUGCUUGCAGAGUGUCACAGCUUUCUUUUUCUUAAUCUGUCCCUUACGGAAUGGGCUAGGAGUGCUCAAGAGGCUGGGCAGAGGACACAGUUGGGACAGGUGACCCAAAAUGUUCUAGAACAUCAUGCUCAGUGAUACAAUUAUGAGAGAGGUGGAGAGCAUUUCCACAGUAACUGCUGCUGAAGAACUGGUGAGUAUUGGUUUGCUAAUAGAAUUCAAUGGCUUUUGUAUAACUUUUUAGGUUGUUUGUUUGGUUUCUUUCCACUACAAGUUUUCUCACUCGAAUCCUUACGAUUCUCUUUUCCAAAUCCCAUUCUACUGAGGAAGAUGGGAAGAAGUGGAAAAAAUUCUCCAUAGUGCUUAACUGCCUAUUGGUCUUAACUCAUCAUAGUCACUCAUCCGCUCAGCAAGUCUUUUUUUGUAGAAAGACACCGGUUUGAUUAUGCAUGAUUUCCUUUUUGUCAAUGCUGAUUACUCUCAAUUACUGUCUUGCUCUUGAUAUGCUUGGAAACUUUCUAAGGAUUAUUUCAUUCAGAGUGAGUCAAGUAGGACUGAUCCUAGAUCCUCUUUCUUAACUUUCAGCUUUGUUAGCAGCUGCUGAUUUCUAAUCAAUAUUAAAUUAAAGAAAAGAAAGGAUGAGGGGAAGGGGAGGAAAAAUAAAGCGCGAUCCCAGCAGUAAAUUGACUCCAGCUGUUGCUCUCUCCUCCCUUAUUAUUUUGAGAAUAUGUGGUUUAAAUACAGAAUCAGUAAUGACUAGAAGAUUGUUCAUAAAUCACACUUUCCUUAAUUUCUUUGCAUAUCUUAGGGUUGGAAUAUUGCUUGAUUCUUCCUGCUAAAUGGUAAGGUAAAGAAUGAGGAAAAAAAAGAAGGAAAGAGAAAAGUUGUUUUUUUGUUGUUGUUAGUUGUUUUGGUUGUUUGGUUUUAUUUUAUCUCCUAAGCAGGUGGGGACUAUUUUCUGUAUGCAGUAGGAAAUUAUGGAAUGUAUUGACAUAUAAGUUUUCAGUUUUAACUGUGUAUGGAGGGGGCAGCUAUGAGAGAGAAGUGGUAAGCAUGUCAUACUUUAGAAUCCAGAAGCCUUGAUAAGUAAAAGUGGAGGAUAUAAUUAGUGUAAUCAGGUUUGAGAGAUUAUGACUUUGAGUAUUCCCAUGCUACAAAGAAUAAUAGAAAGAUAAGUAUGGAAGAAUUUUAAUGAACUUGCUGAAUUCUGAUAAUGUACAAAAUACAAGAUAUAGCCAUGUUAAUGUUUGUCUUACAUAUUUUGAAAGACCUUUACUGAUACACAUUUCACAGAAACAGUCAGCAGACCUAGUCAGAGUGGGAUACAGUAGUUUACCUGAUAUAUAGGCCUUAUUAGCAAGAACUGUAGGAAAGUUGUAGUGACUGUAAUUUAGCUUCUUGACUAAAAACACUAUAGAAAUGUCUAUUAAACAUAUAGUUUAAAGAAUGACAAGAAAUACAACUUAUGUAAAUCAGUAUUCUUCCAUUGACUUUCAUAGAACUAAGUCAAUUUAGAGCAGUUGAGAGCCUAGCUCCAAAUUUCACGGUUCAAACUCACCAUAAGGUGAGGAGAGGAGAAAUUUAAGAAGGCAAACAACCCACAAAAUUAAAUUGAUCUGCAAAUAUGAAGUACUUACCACAAAUUAAUUUGUCAGUAGAUACUGGUUUCUUUCACAUACUGUCAAGAAUCUCGUUUAGCAGUGAAGGAACUGAAGAGACAGUUGUAGUUUGUACAUUUUACCUUUUAAUAUCUCCUGUACAAAUGACUGAAAAUAGUUUUUCUAAAUGGAAAGCCUGCAACAUCCCCAGAACAACAGCAAUAAAAAGAUUCAACUUCAAUAAAGCAGCAUAAAGCAAAUUUGCUAGAAUAAUAUGGAGGCAAUUCAUCAUCACAACUGUAACAUUUUAAAUAAUGGGAUGUCUGCUCCCUGUGCAUGCUGCAAUUAGAAUGAAUUUGCAAUAAACGUGUUCAUUAAGUUGAAUCACUAGGUUGUAAAAAGAGUCAUCAGAUAGAUGACUUCAAUGUGGUUAGUUUUGUUUGUUUGGUUUUUUUUUCCCCCUAUAUUUGAAGGGAAUUUUCAUUUAUAGAUACCUACUAUAUAUGCAAGUCAUGGUCAUUCCAUUGUUUUUUCCUAUAUAAAUUUUACAUGGGAAUCUGCAUUUAUCCUGUUAAAGUUCAGGUUUCUUAUUCAUUGGAUUAGAUUAUAUAGAGCAUGAGUUAACUUUAAGUAUCUCACAUUAGUUAUUUUAUGCUAGCUGCAUUUUUGCCAGAUGUGAGUGAUGUUUUCUGCAAGCUGUAUGGUAGAAUUUCAUUACUCUGAGAAUCAAAAAUGUAUCACUGGCUUUUAAAAUCUCUUUAGAGA